rnacentral:misc_RNA from 1 species
UUUCCGUAGGUGAACCUGCGGAAGGAUCAUUAUCAGGUAAUUCAGUCCCCUUGGCUGUGUUAUAUAUAUACCCACUCUGUGUACCUUCUCCUGUUGCUUCCGCUGGGUGUGUAAAUCGCCCGGCGGAAGGGUAAAAAUAACCUCUGAGUAUUGAUGAAAUCUCUGUCUGAACCGAAUAGAAAGAAAAAUGUUAAAACUUUCAGCAACGGAUCUCUUGGUUCUC